AAUCGCACGCAGUGCGGUCACUUACUUUGAAAGAUUGAGUCACUGCGUAAGCUCGGCAAAACCGCACUCAAAAAUCACAAGUUCUCCCUACCCGGCAAGCAGCAGAUGCGGUGUGCCGGGGCACCGCAAACGAGGACGACUUGUGCACUAGAAUUUUGAUAACCCUUGGAGACUUUCGUCGAUUCGGCAUGAUUGGUUGGCGAGUUGUUGAAAAUCGAGACAAACGACAAAAAUUCCUCGGAUAUUCAGAAUCGCACCGAUUCUGCUGCAGGACUGCGCAACCGCAAACGACUCGGAUGGUGUUCAAGAUAAAACUGAGUUGAAUCUCCUGGCCCUGGAGCGGGAUCGGGGGCGAGACAAACGCUGCGCAAAGCACGUGGUGAUGUCGUAUACGCGCCCCCGCGGCGACGCUUUUUACACGGAGAAUUCAACGACUUGUCGACUGCAAGUUUAAUAUACGCCUAUAACACAUGCGGUACAGUCCAUACAUGUACGAAUUCGUACGUAACUCGGGGUCCUCGGGAUCGGCUUCGACGCAGGAGUGCAAUGGAUAGUUUUUUUCUACCUGAUGCGUCGCAAACGUGCAUGAGAAGUUGCGCAUAAAGCAGGUGUCUAAGCCCAGGAGAAUCACGUUUUCUCAGUAUUUUCACAUAUUACACAAAGUUGAAUCGAGAAGCUUAUUUUAUGCAUCAUAUCAUUCGAGAGCCGGUGCCGCGAUACAAUGGAUACCAGCACUACGAUUUCGUCUA